rnacentral:tmRNA from 1 species
GGGGACGAAACUGGCUUCGACGGGGGUCGAGGGAGUGCAGAUGGCAUACCGAGGUCCUGGUUCCUCGUUAAUCUUCCUGGAAACAAAUUUAAACGCAGAUAACUAUGCGUAUGCAAUGGCUGCCUAAUUAAGGCGCCCGUGUUAUUAGAGUCUUACCUGCCAGGCUCUGAUAACGCGACGAUAAUGACAGGUUAGUUCUUUUAUUUGCCUGAGAUAAAAGAGCGAAAUUUAAUCGGGCUGGCUCUCUUAGAAGCUUUGUUUGUUGUGCUUCAAGGAGUGAGAUUGAACAAUAGACUAAGUAUGUAGAGGUCUGUAAGACCGGGCCUUCGGACGCGGGUUCGACUCCCGCCGUCUCCACAA